rnacentral:rRNA from 1 species
UGAAUACGAGACGCUAAGGCGUCGAAGUAGUGUAUAUCAGACUUCCAAGAAAAGCUUGCACUGUCAUAGAUAAAAAAUGCCUGUACCAUAACCGACACAGGUGGGUAGGUAGAGUAUACUAAGGGGCGCGAGAUAACUCUCUCUAAGGAACUCGGCAAAAUAACUCCGUAACUUCGGGAGAAGGAGUGCCUUAUUUAUAAGGUUGCAAUAACAAGAUCCAAGCAACUGUUUAUCAAAAACACAGGUCUCCGCUAAGUCGUAAGACGACGUAUGGGGGCUGACGCCUGCCCAGUGCCAGAAGGUUAAAGAAGUUGGUUAGCAAUUGCGAAGCUGAUAACUGAAGCCCUGGUGAACGGCGGCCGUAACAAUAACGGUCCUAAGGUAGCGAAAUUCCUUGUCGGGUAAGUUCCACCCGCACGAAAGGCGUAAUGAUUUGGAUACUGUCUCGGAGAGGGGCUCGGUGAAAUAGACUUGUCUGUGAAGAUGCGGACUACCUGCACCAGGACAGAAAGACCCUAUGAAGCUUUACUGUAACUUGAAAUUGAAAUUGGACUUUAUUCGCGCAGCAUAGGUGGGAGGCGUUGAUUAUAAUCUUGCGGGAUUAUUGGAGCCAUCAGUGAGAUACCACUCUUGUAAUGUUAGAUUUCUAACUUUGAAUCAUUACCUGGUCAAAGAACAGUUUCAGGCGGGCAGUUUGACUGGGGCGGUCGCCUCCUAAAUGGUAACGGAGGCGUACAAAGGUUUCCUCUGAACGGUUAGAAAUCGUAUCUAGAGUGUAAAGGCAUAAGGAAGCUUGACUGUGAGACCUACAAGUCGAGCAGGGACGAAAGUCGGUCUUAGUGAUCUGACGGUACUGAGUGGAAAGGCCGUCACUCAACGGAUAAAAGUUACUCUAAGGAUAACAGGCUGAUCUCCCCCAAGAGUUCACAUCGACGGGGAGGUUUGGCACCUCGAUGUCGGCUCAUCGCAUCCUGGGGCGGUAGUACGUCCCAAGGGUUGGGCUGUUCGCCCAUGAAAGCGGUACGCGAGCUGGGUUCAGAACGUCGUGAGACAGUUCGGUCCAUAUCCGGUGUAGGCGUUAGAAUAUUGAGAGGAGCCUUCCUUAGUACGAGAGGACCGAGAAGGACAUACCUCUGGUGUACCAGUUAUCGUGCCAACGGUAAACGCUGGGUAGCUAUGUAUGGAGUGGAUAACCGCUGAAAGCAUCUAAGUGGGAAGCCCACCUCAAGAUAAGUAUUCUCA